rnacentral:rRNA from 1 species
UACGUAGGGUGCGAGCGUUGUCCGGAAUUAUUGGGCGUAAAGGGCUCGUAGGCGGUUUGUCGCGUCGGGAGUGAAAACCCAGGGCUUAACCCUGGGCUGGCUUCCGAUACGGGCAGACUAGAGGUAUGCAGGGGAGAACGGAAUUCCUGGUGUAGAGGUGAAAUUCGUAGAUAUCAGGAGGAACACCGGUGGCGAAGGCGGCUUUCUGGACGACAACUGACGCUGAGACGCGAAAGCGUGGGGAGCAAACAGG